rnacentral:rRNA from 1 species
UUUAAAGACCUAGCAAUAGGUAUGCUUAGGGAAGAGCUUGCGUCACAUUAGUUAGUUGGUGGGGUAAUGGCCUACCAAGACGAUGAUGUGUAGCCGGGCUGAGAGGUCGAACGGCCACAUUGGGACUGAGACACGGCCCAAACUCCUACGGGAGGCAGCAGUAAGGAAUUUUCGGCAAUGGAGGAAACUCUGACCGAGCAAUGCCGCGUGAACGAUGAAGUAUUUCGGUACGUAAAGUUCUUUUAUUAGGGAAGAAAAGAUGGUGGAAAAACCAUUAUGACGGUACCUAAUGAAUAAGCCCCGGCUAACUAUGUGCCAGCAGCCGCGGUAAUACAUAGGGGGCAAGCGUUAUCCGGAAUUAUUGGGCGUAAAGGGUGCGUAGGCGGUUAAAUAAGUUUAUGGUCUAAGUGCAACGCUCAACGUUGUGAUGCUAUAAAAACUGUUUAGCUAGAGUUGGAUAGAGGCAAGUGGAAUUCCGUGUGUAGUGGUAAAAUGCGUAAAUAUACGGAGGAACACCAGAAGCGAAGGCGGCUUGCUGGGUCUUAACUGACGCUGAGGCACGAAAGCGUGGGGAGCAAACAGGAUUAGAUACCCUGGUAGUCCACGCCCUAAACGAUGAGUACUAAACGUUGGAUAAAACCAGUGUUGAAGUUAACACAUUAAGUACUCCGCCUGAGUAGUACGUACGCAAGUAUGAAACUUAAAGGAAUUGACGGGACUCCGCACAAGCGGUAGAUCAUGUUGUUUAAUUCAAAGGUACCCGAAAAACCUCACCAGGUCUUGACAUGCUUUUGCAAAGCUGUAGAAAUACAGUGGAGGUUAUCAAAAGCACAGGUGGUGCAUGGUUGUCGUCAGCUCGUGUCGUGAGAUGUUGGGUUAAGUCCCGCAACGAGCGCAACCCUUGUUGUUAAUUGCCAUCAUUAAGUUGGGGACUUUAGCAAGACUGCCAAUGAUAAAUUGGAGGAAGGGGGGGACGACGUCAAAUCAUCAUGCCCCUUAUGACCUGGGCUACAAACGUGAUACAAUGGCUGUUACAAAGGGUAGCUAAAGCGUAAGCUUCUGGCGAAUCUCAAAAAAGCAGUCUCAGUUCGGAUUGAAGUCUGCAACUCGACUUCAUGAAGUUGGAAUCGCUAGUAAUCGCGAAUCA